AUCGAUCACAUCCUCCGCAGCCAACCAGGUCCAAUAUCGGCCCAUCCUUCCUAUCCUAUCGAAUCAGAACGAGUUCACAUCGAACUGAGUUUCUCUGGUAUCCAAUCCUAGAUUGCUUCGUUUAUAGUUUCUUGUCUCCUUGCCCACAAAAAUCUACCCUUAUUUAACCCCUCUCCUCUGCGCGUGAUUCCUACAUAAAUCCUAUCAAAAUUUCCAUCAAAUCAAUUACACGGGCUCGCCGGAGUUUGCUCGUCACCGAAGUUCAAAAUCUAGAUUUUUUCGGCAACAGGGUUCCCGGAUCGACGGAUCAGGACGCCGAACUGCACACCGGGAAGUGUAGUACGCCGCCGAGCUGUGCCACGACCUCCUGGGAAUCCACGCCCAGCGACAUGAGCAGGACUAGCACCCCAGCAGUGUGGCCUGGUUCGUGCAUGCUUCAGCAGGGAUGAAGCACUAGGUGAUCCACAUCUCGUCCAAUAGGCCCACGCCUAGAUCCUCCGGCUCCAGUCCAAGGCCCCGUACAUCACCAAGGAGCCAAGGUAGCUUAUCCUUGAAGUCAAAAGCACCCUCGAUCGGGAGGAGAUUCAGACCAACCGCCAUGGUGGUGGUUGUUUGUAAGAGGCCAGUGCAUCACAUGGAAAUUUUAUCAUUCGGCCUAUGUGAUAAAAUGCACUUACAGAUCCAUGGCUGAAGUUACAUGGAAGCAGUAGAUCAUCGGAAGAUAUCACCAUAUAUUUUAGCAAGAAUUUUAUGUAGGUAAUGUUGUGGUACCUUGAGAUCAUCAGAUAGCUAGAGUAGAUUCAUCACUUCAAUGAGUACUCUAUGGGAUCUUCAUUCCUCAACACGAAACUAUGACCUGCAGACGGUGAUGCGACCUGAUAUGGUAAUCACUUCUCCUCGCGUGUGUUGGUGAGAUUGAUUUACUAUCUUCUUUAUUUCGUUUGAUUCUGAACGCUACCAUCUUGGAGCAAUUCAAAUCCAAAAAGUUCUUUCACAA